UCGGGAAUAUUGGACAAUGGGGGAAACCCUGAUCCAGCGACGCCGCGUGUGUGAAGAAGGCCUGCGGGUUGUAAAGCCCUUUUGUACGGGAAGAAAUCCUGUCGGUUAAUACCCGGCGGGGAUGACGGUACCGUAAGAAUAAGCACCGGCUAACUUCGUGCCAGCAGCCGCGGUAAUACGAAGGGUGCAAGCGUUAAUCGGAAUUACUGGGCGUAAAGCGUGCGUAGGCGGUUGGCUAAGUCAGAUGUGAAAGCCCUGGGCUCAACCUGGGAAUGGCAUUUGAAACUGGCCGGCUAGAGUGUGAUAGAGGAUGGCGGAAUUCCCGGUGUAGCGGUGAAAUGCGUAGAGAUCGGGAGGAACAUCCGUGGCGAAGGCGGCCAUCUGGAUCAACACUGACGCUGAGGCACGAAAGCGUGGGGAGCAAACAGGAUUAGAUACCCAGGUAGUCCCUGAGCGGGCUGGCAAGGCG
rnacentral:rRNA from 1 species